rnacentral:rRNA from 1 species
UCUGAACCUUCGGGGGACGAUAACGGCGUCGAGCGGCGGACGGGUGAGUAAUGCCUAGGAAAUUGCCCUGAUGUGGGGGAUAACCAUUGGAAACGAUGGCUAAUACCGCAUAAUGCCUACGGGCCAAAGAGGGGGACCUUCGGGCCUCUCGCGUCAGGAUAUGCCUAGGUGGGAUUAGCUAGUUGGUGAGGUAAUGGCUCACCAAGGCGACGAUCCCUAGCUGGUCUGAGAGGAUGAUCAGCCACACUGGAACUGAGACACGGUCCAGACUCCUACGGGAGGCAGCAGUGGGGAAUAUUGCACAAUGGGCGCAAGCCUGAUGCAGCCAUGCCGCGUGUGUGAAGAAGGCCUUCGGGUUGUAAAGCACUUUCAGUCGUGAGGAAGGU